rnacentral:rRNA from 1 species
CCUACGGGGGGCUGCAGUUAGGAAUAUUCGUCAAUGGAGGAAACUCUGAACGAGCAAUGCCGCGUGAAGGAUGACGGUCCUAUGGAUUGUAAACUUCUGUUGUUGGGGAAGAACGACUUAAGUAGGAAAUGACUUAAGAGUGACGGUACCUUUCAAGAAAGCUCCGGCUAACUACGUGCCAGCAGCCGCGGUAAUACGUAGGGAGCAAGCGUUAUCCGGAUUUAUUGGGUGUAAAGGGUACGUAGGCGGCCUCAUAAGUCUGUGGUUUAAGCCCGAAGCUUAACUUCGGUUCGCCACAGAAACUGUUUGGCUUGAGUAUGGUAGAGGCAAGUGGAAUUUCUAGUGUAGCGGUUAAAUGCGUAGAUAUUAGAAGGAACACCAGUGGGGAAGGCGACUUGCUGGGCCAUUACUGACGCUGAGGUACGAAAGCGUGGGGAGCAAAUAGGAUUAGAUACCCCGGUAGUC